UGACAGCAAAACAGGGGCCCUUGGAGUCAACCAGGCCGAACGUGCUGCCAGAAAACCAGGCAAGAGUGAGGACGUAUCGGACUUGCUUGGAACAGGCUAGUUCACGGGUUUGGAACCAUGAAGGAACCAGGCUGUCAGGUGGAGCUUUGGAGCUGGGGGUGAAGAACCCGUCUGUUGGCCUGGGGAAGGAGAUCUGGCCUGUUGGGGAGAGCCCAUGGGUGACAGGAGGACAUGCUGAGUAGGACCACUGUGUAGCAGUUCUAAUGGACAACACCACGGCCAUGUUCUAUCUGAACAAGCAAGGCGGAGCCUGCUCAUCGCUGCUCUGCCAAGAAGCCCUCCUUCUGUGGGACUUAUGCUUAGCCCAUUCCAUCAGCCUUGAGGCCUCGUAUCUGCAGGGUGUCCAGAACUUUCUGGCAGACAGCCUGAGCAGGCGUUUUCUCACUCACAAAUGGUCGAUAUGUCUGGAUAUCAUUCAUUCCAUUUUCUGCACCUGGGGGUUUUCCUGAGUCAAUUUGUUCACUUUGUAGACCAACAGGAAGUGCCCAGCAUUCUAUUCCUUCCGGGGCCGCAGUCCUGACUCAAUAGCCGAUGCCUUCCAGAUCACAUGGUCGAGUCAGCUGCUUUAUGCCUUCCCUCCUUUCCUGUUGAUGCACAAGGUGCUCAUGAAGGUCCGCCAGGACAAGGCAGAUGUCUAGUAGCCUCUGCCUGGCAUCAUCAGUGUUGGUACCCGACCCUGCUGGACCUGUCAAUCCAGGCUCCCCUGCAUGACAUCUCCCUCUCAGCGCUGACCUCAUCUUUCAGAACCAUGGUCGUCUCCUGCAGCCGGACCUUCAGUCGUUCCGCCUCACAGCCUGGAUGCUGAAUGCGCCUGUUCAGACUCGGUAAGACAGGUGCUUCUCGAAAGUUGCAAGCUGUCAACUAGGCUCACCUUCGAAGCCAAGUGGACAGGGUUGUCCAGCUGGUGCGCUCAGAGGCAGGUGCCCCUGCUUCAGGCUCCAAUCCAGUGCAUCUUGGACUACCUGAUGUUCCUAAAGGACCAGCAUCUAGCCUUUGGAUCCCUUAAGGUCCACCUCACGGCCAUCUCUGCUUGUUCCAGUAAAAGAUAUCACUUCACCUACCCUGUGUCUCUGUAGAUUCAUUUUGUGAUCUUGGGCUAAUCAAUUGUGUGUGCACAUUUUGAUGGGGAAGUAUAUGGCUAUUAAGGCAGGGGUGGGCAAACCAUUUGGCCUGAGGGCCACAUUGGG